rnacentral:rRNA from 1 species
AACGUACGCUGGCGGCACGCCUAACACAUGCAAGUCGAACGAAGUAGCAAUACUUAGUGGCAGACGGGUGAGUAACAUGUGGGUAUCUGCCCUUUGGCCUGGAAUAACACGAGGAAACUUGUGCUAAUACCGGAUAAGUCUUUACGGAGAAAGCCUUAUGCACCAUUGGAUGAGCCCGCACUUGAUUAGUUUGUUGGUGGGGUAAUGGCCUACCAAGACUGUGAUCAAUAGCUGAUUUGAGAGGAUGAUCAGCCACAUUGGGACUGAGACACGGCCCAAACUCCUACGGGAGGCAGCAGUGGGGAAUCUUGCACAAUGGAGGAAACUCUGAUGCAGCGAUGCCGCGUGAGUGAAGAAGGCCCUUGGGUUGUAAAGCUCUUUCGUCGGGGAAGAAAAUGACUGUACCCGAAUAAGAAGGUCCGGCUAACUUCGUGCCAGCAGCCGCGGUAAUACGAAGGGACCUAGCGUAGUUCGGAAUUACUGGGCUUAAAGAGUUCGUAGGUGGUUGAAAAAGUUAGUGGUGAAAUCCCAGAGCUUAACUCUGGAACUGCCAUUAAAACUUUUCAGCUAGAGUAUGAUAGAGGAAAGCAGAAUUUCUAGUGUAGAGGUGAAAUUCGUAGAUAUUAGAAAGAAUACCAAUUGCGAAGGCAGCUUUCUGGAUCAUUACUGACACUGAGGAACGAAAGCAUGGGUAGCGAAGAGGAUUAGAUACCCUCGUAGUCCAUGCCGUAAACGAUGUGUGUUAGACGUUGGAAAUUUAUUUUCAGUGUCGCAGCGAAAGCGAUAAACACACCGCCUGGGGAGUACGACCGCAAGGUUAAAACUCAAAUGAAUUGACGGGGACCCGCACAAGUAGUGGAGCAUGUGGUUUAAUUCGAAGAUACGCGCAGAACCUUACCAACACUUGACAUGUUCGUCGCGACUCUAAGAGAUUAGAGUUUUCGGUUCGGCCGGACGAAACACAGGUGCUGCAUGGCUGUCGUCAGCUCGUGUCGUGAGAUGUUGGGUUAAGUCCCGCAACGAGCGCAACCCUCACUUUUAGUUGCCAUCAUUAAGUUGGGCACUCUGAAAGAACUGCCAGUGAUAAGCUGGAGGAAGGUGGGGAUGACGUCGAGUCCUCAUGGCCCUUACGUGUUGGGCUACACACGUGCUACAAUGGUAUCUACAACAGGAAGCAAGGCUGCGAGGUCAAGCAAAUCCUUAAAAGAUACCUCAGUUCGGAUUGCACUCUGCAACUCGAGUGCAUGAAGCUGGAAUUACUAGUAAUCGUGGAUCAGCGUGCCACGGUGAAUGCGUUCCCGGGUCUUGUACACACCGCCCGUCACACCAUGGGAGUUGGUUCUACCUUAAGGCAAGGUUUCAAACCCUUGACCACGGUAUAGUCAGCGACUGGGGUG